ACUCUUGAUUCUCGGACUUGAGGCGUACCUUCAUAAGUGAUUUCAAGCUUAUCCCACAUCUCGGGGACUGGACUAACCACACGUUGUGGUGAACCAGUAUAAAAACCACCUCGAUUAUGUCCAAGUGUAUAAUCGAUUAUCUUACUCUGUGGAAAUUUCCAAUAAAUGGGAUUUCCCAGAAUAAUCGAUUAUACACUUUGCCAUAAUCGAUUAUUCUCUUAUGCUGUCCAGAA
rnacentral:lncRNA from 1 species